UCGUUAAUUCGCGCAAACGAAUUCAAAGUCGUCGAUUCGGGGCUUCGGCCCUCCGAAUCGGCUGUUUGAUUUUUCGUUUGUCGCGUCUUCGACGCGGAACGUCGCAACUCGUUGAAUUCGUGGCAAAAGGAUCGCGCGUGAAGUUCAACGCGAGCGUCGCGUUUUUCGCGUCGUAUCGCGUCGAGCCGUCGCGAUGCCGAGCUUCGAUCGUUCGACGGUACGCGAAAUGGCGUGCGCACUCGAGGGUCCUCCUCGCGUGCGUCGUUUGUUUGCGACGAUCAUUCGGGUCUCUUUCCGACCCGUCUUGAAACACGGACCAAGGAGUCUAACGUACGCGCGAGUCGCGGGGUAUCGCGAAUUUAACACGUUCGCGAUACGAGUAUAAACCCGAGUAGGCGCAAUGAAGGUGAGCGCGCGAUCGUUCGCGGUCGCGUCAGGGAUGACGGCGUUUUCAGCAAGCGCUCGUCAAUUUACGAAUUGACGCGAAACGCCCGCAAUCCCGGGGCGUUCAAAAUGGCGCGUCGGUGCGCGGUUCGCCGCGUAUUCGACGACCUAGGGCGCACCCGUAGCGUGUACGUUGGUACCCGAAAGAUGGUGAACUAUGCCCGGCCAGGAUGAAGUCAGGGGAAACCCUGAUGGAGGUCCGUAGCGGUUCUGACGUGCAAAUCGAUCGUCUG
rnacentral:rRNA from 1 species